ACCAAGGGGCCGCUGACAAUUCGUAACUGCGGAGGGUAACGAAGACUGGACAGGCCCGCGUAGAAAGACGUCUUCCCGGGAAGAGGUGGAGGGUGUCCCCAGCACGGGAAAUCUCUUUGCGGAGCCUCCUGACGCAGCGUGCAAGACAGGACGGUUAUGGAUUCUGAGACAAGACUGCCGCGCCGGCUGUACGGGGAGCCGCAGCACUCGCUGUGAACACAAAGGGCAUCACCCGAGCAGGUCUGCAGAGCGGCGUGGUUCAUGGGCAACCAAGGUGCCUCGAAAAGGUGAAGUCGUGUCGCCUGGAACUGAGCCCUGACCCCUGCUCGGCUUGGAAUGGGCAUGGAAGUGGCAGAGUUCUUAUCCCAGAUCAGCUCCCAGUUUUCCAGCCCCCACCCCAUCACGAAAGGUACCAGCCUGUCAUCAUGAAAACACUAAGGCUCGGGGACUCAGGUCUGGCCCACGCAUCCAGUCAGGAGCUAGCUGGGAUCUUCUCACAGGUGGAUUGAUGGUGUCUCUGGGCUCUCUGUUCUGUUUCACUGGACUCUUGACUCUUCUGCCAGUGCCACAGUGCCUUGGUGACUGAAAUCUUCAUCGUAACUUUUUAAAACGUCCUAUAUUGAUAUUUACUUAGUUUACGGUUACAAAGUGUCUUUCCUGAAUAUGAUUUUAUAUGCUGCACACAUGCAGUACCCAUGGAGGCCAGAAGAGGGCGCUGGAUCCCCACGGAACUGGAGAUACAGAGGGUUGUGAGUCAUCCUGUGGGUGCUGGGCACCGGACCCAGCUCCUGUACAAGAGCAGCAGCUCUUAGCCAGUGAGCCAUCUCUCCAGCCACCUCAUUCCACCAUACUCCUUCCUGUUCUUUCUUUUUUUC
rnacentral:lncRNA from 1 species